GAAACAAAAAGAGGGGUCUUUGUUAUUCUUAUGUUCUAUUAUUUUUCUCUUUCAGAUUUAAAAUAUGUUUUUUUUUUCAAUUCAUGAUGUUCGUUGCCAAUUUUUAUUCACUUUUUUUUAAUAAGUUUGUGCUGUGAUUUUAUUUGUUUCAAAAUCGAUUGGAGAAGAGAGCAGUGAUUAUAAACCACAAGAAUCAAAAAAAUCUGAUUUGCUCAAUUUCUGGGCAUGAUAGACUUAUUAUACACCCAUAGAAUAUGAGCUCUCUUCUCAAACGUCUUUUUUUUUUUGAAAAACAAUUUCCAAAUAUUUACUAGCUAAUUUUUUUGUAUUCAAUAUACCUCUACCAUACUUGUAUGUGAAAUUUUAUAUUCUAAUUGUAAAGAACAGUUUCAUAAAGGCUAUACAAAAUGCCGACGGUGCGAUAAUCGUUGAACAUAAACACAACCACCUCCAUCAUUAUUGGAAGCAGCUUCAAACAUGUCCUUUCACAUCUGUUUGAUAUGAUAUUAAGAUUGGACAAUGCUUUAUGGUUUUGAGCCUUUUUGCCCGUCAUGUAAAAUUUUAUACGAACUGUAGUUAAAUCAUAUGACUAUUGCCACGUGAUUUUAAUCCAAGAAUCAUAUCUUGUGCUUGGACAAAGAAAUCAGUAAUCAUAUUUGGGCUUUAAAUUUGGAGACGGACAUGAACCUAAAAUGAAGUUGAUCUUUUUGCUGGUCCACUAGCAUAAACUAAAAAUAUGCUUGCAUCCAUGAUUAUCAUAACUUACAAAUUGUGUUUUAACUUGUACUAUAAUCACAUAAAAGCAAAGAAGCAAUUAGAUGUCGGAUAAUCACGUUAUUUCCAAGUCUUUUUCGGAUAAAAAGCUUUGAUCAUUUUUCUUGAGUGCGAAUCUAUAUUUUGUUUCUACUAAAUGGGGGUCGAAUAUUUUGCUGGUCCACUAGCCUAAACUUUUAUCUUUCUUACCUAUCGGUGAAAAAAUGCAUGCAUGCGCUAUUAUUACAUGCAUUGCGCUAUGUUAAGGACAAUAAAAAUCCAAUUAUCCCAAAAGUUUUACCAGUAAGCAUACGCUUCGUCCGUUCCUCACGUCUCCAGUUAGACGCACAAGCGGUAUCAAAAACCCACACAUGUUAUGUUUGACAAUAAACACUAGGAAGCUCUCGGCUAGUGAAAUUUUCUAAGCUUUGGAGAAGAAAGAAAAACGUUCACACACGUAUUUUGUCGGAUCUGAGAUCUUUGGUUACGAAAGUUUGGUAUGUAUGUAUGCUUUUCCUUGGUGGAGUUUUGUUUCUCGAUUCUAAUCUUAUAAUUAUUACUGGUUUUGAAAAGCAUUCAUACCAGAUAUUAGAUAUAUCUCCUCUCUGUUAUGUCUUUUUCCCUCCGUAGAAGGUAAUAGAAAAGUUCCACAAGAUUAAGUUGUAACACAUUCUCAACUAUUUGAUUCUUAAUUUAAUAUAUUUAAACUUUUUCAACAAGUUUUAAAUAUAUUUAAUAAAUUAGCCUGCAUUUGUUUCAUUUUAAAAUCUGAUAGACAAAUCAAGAAGAGGCACGUCUAAAGGUUAGAGGCAACUCUACAAGUCAAGAAGAGGCCUGUGCACUGCUCCCUCUCUGCUUGAUCUGAUUAAAUGUAUUAGGCCCAAUGAUAAAGUCCAUACGUUAAUUGAAAUGUAUAGGCACUAUAAGAAUGGCCCAGGUUACAUUAGGCAUAUAAGUUUCUCUCUUCACUUAGGCAAAAAACGGGCUAAUCUUAUGAUAUAUAUUAGAGUAGACACAGCAUAGGUUUUAUGAAUAUGGAAAACGAGGGGGGAGACACACAGACUGGUGUAAAGACAUAAACAUAAGUUGACCAUGCUGUUUGUUAACAUGGUGGUAUCUAAUGCAGGUGGGAGUAUUUUUCUUUAUUUCAUCAAAGUAUUUAUUUGGUUUAUCAUUGGCUUUGAUAUAGUCAUAUGACCUACCUAGGGGUGUCAAAAUGGGUUGUGAUUAAUGGAUUGAUUCAAGCCAAACCAACCCAUGGUUCUAAUGAGUUAAUAAUUUGGAUCUUAAUGGAUUAAUGGUUUUUAUGGGUUAGUGGGUUUAGUGAGUUGGAUUAAUAUUGGUUUGGAUCAAAAUGGGUUUAUGGGUUAUCCAAUCCAAACCAAUUUUUUCAUACACGUUGUUUCUCUUCGUCUUUCUCUCCCUUUUUUCUUAUCUCACGAGACUUGAUCUCUCUUUUUCGAUCUCGCUAGACCUUCAUCAUCGAUCACGACAUCGAUUCACACCUUUUGGGUCAUUGAUUUUGGGUUAUCAAUCACAACAAAGCAACUCAUCUUCCUUGUAUCACCAGCCUUUGCGUGUUUGUGGAACACUUGUAGCAGCAAGGUGUCAACAAAGAUGAUGAAUAAUGAAGAAGAUCUUCUAAACAGUGGUGGCCAAUCAUCCACAAGUGCAUCACAAAUAGCUCUAGUGAAAACAAUGGGCAGACAUAACAAGGGAAGUGAAUGAAACGAUGAAGUGGCUCGAUUGGAAUUAGAGACUUUUGUUUGUGUUCUAUUAUCAAACGACGAGAGUUCUUGUUAAUGUGUAAUGGUGGAGACUAGAGAGGCAAUCUUGUUUUUCUUGCUAGACAUUUGAUUUUCUGUUAUUUCAAAUAUUUUGAUGAGUUAUAUUAUAUAACUUGAGAAAAGAAAAUUAUAUAAUUUGCUAAUUUUUGAUUAGCAUUUUUAAU